GUAGUGUCUGUUUAGUAUAUGUAAUGCGUGUGUAAUAUACGAAUUUAGUGUGCGUGUAAUUAUUAUUUGUGUAAUGCGUAUUUAGUUUCUGCGUGCUUAGAGUGUAUAUAGGAUAUGUGUUUCUGGCACAUGUGUAGUAUGUUUUUAUUGUUCGAACUGUACACAGUUUGUGUGUAUAGUACAUACGUUUAUUGUGUGUUAUAGUGUGCGUCCAUGGACGAUCGAUACCAAAAAAUAAGGUAACGAGGAGAUAAUAGCCGCUUUUAAAUAAAUUAAACAUACACACACACUAUAUAUAAUGAACAGAUAGACACUAUCCAUACACGGCACGUAAUAUUCAAGUGACCAUGCCCUAACCCCAAUCUCCUCGUGGUGUAUCUUGACUUAUUACAAUACCGAUAGCCUUUUUUAUAUUUCAAAUGUCAAUAAAGGGCAACAAGAAGUCGUACGACAAUCCUUAGUUAUAAAGGCGAGACUUCCCUUCACAAAGUUAUCCUAAAACGGAUCUUGAAGGAAAGUUUUCAAAUUCUACAGAGUCAUUUAAAUUUGUAAAAUCUUCGUAAAGAAAAAGUAUCUUCAGUUCCCCAGCCAUUAAUGAAAAAAUGAACACAAGAUUAUAAGGGAAAAAGCUUCGUGUUUUAAAAUGAGCCCAGGAUUUGACGAGACAGUUGGUCAAAAUACUAACUCUCAACUAGGUACAUACGGUACUUACGGAGGAGUUAUGGUACCGGGAUAAGAUCUUUAUACAUGAUACAAUUUGAUUCAGAAUAAUAAAUGUUAAUAAACUAGUACAAAUGAGUGCUAGUGGAUCCGGUCAAAUAUAUCCAGAAGAACAAUUAUCGAAUGGGUCCAAGUGAAUCAAGAUUGAUUAGAUUAAGUCACACGAGACAAUGUGUUUAGGAACUGGGUAUAUGCCACCGAUAUACAAAUUCGCGAAUAAUAUUUGGAGAGUCAGAACACCUGAGUAGCACAUCAGAACCAGACUAUAUAAAUGUGACUGGAUCACUACGAUCAGGCCAUAUGAAUUCGAGUGACCGACCUAGGCUAGAGCAUAUAGGCACUAACAGUUCAUCUAAAUCAGGACAUGUCAGUACAAGCUUCCCCAGGUGCACGAAUGAAUCACGACUAUUGAGUUUAAAUGCUCCUGGGUAAAUUAGCACAGGAACACUCUUGUCCCAAAGAGAAAUAAAAGAAGUUGGAAGUCAGUUGAGACCAGAGACAAUGAUAAAAUCAAAUACAAUUACGUUAGACAAAUAAGCAGUAGCCGGAACGGACCCAGGCACAUCUCCACGGGAGAACAAAAAGAAUAAUAGACUGAAAAUCAUUUCGGGUAUUACAGCAGUGGAGAGUAAGAUUUUAUCCUUUUUUAAAAAAAGGAACAAAGGAAAAUGACAAUCCCCUUACUCCAAAAAAAGCCCGGUGAGAAUUCCAGUCAACAAGAGCAAAUAUACUGAUGAAAGUGAAUUGCAUAUCGACACACCUUCGGAAUAUUUCGAAUAUAGUGAUUGUAACACCCCAAUGGCGGUAAAAACAAAAAGAAUUAAGGAACGAAAGAAUUGAGAGGGGGGAGGAGAAUUAAUCAAAUCGGUCAUGAGGAGGCAGAAAAAUAUAAGAGAUCUUACGAAAAGCGAAGAGGAAAGGAUAUCCUCGCAAUCAGAAAGAAAAAUAGAAUACUCCAUCAAACAAGUGGAAGUGAAUGUGUUAAUUAAUACAUUAACCGAAGUGAUUUUAAACACAAAAAAAAAAAUAAAUACGAGACUCCACCUAUUAUCUAAAAAAAGAUGCGGAAAUAGCGGAGAUGACUAAAGAGAAUAACGAACAUAUGAAUGGCACUUCUGAGUGGAUCCAAGGAUUAAAUAAAAAAUAAAGGGUAAGGAUUACACCGGUCAAGGAAACGAUUACUCAUAGAAAGUCUGUGGCAACGUCGCGCCCUAAAUAGUAACUACAAAACAUAGAUUGAUACAAAAAGGACACUACCAAAUUAGUAAAAGGAAACAGACCUCCCCAGUGAAAGACAAAGGGGAAGAACUUAGGAAAAGAUCUAAGAAAGGAGCGUUGGCAUAGAUAAAGAUGACACCCAGAGGGAAAAUAAUAGUAGUGAAAUUAAUGAAUGGAAAGUUCAAAUAAAUAAGAAAACACUUAGAAAAGAGAAGAUUAAAAAAAGAAUAUCAACACCAACCCAAAAGGGACAGCAGAAAAGUGAAAAGUCAGCAAAGAAUUCGCAAUAGACCGGAGGUCUAUACUUGUCAAGGUCGAAAGUGGAAAAGAAUGACUCGAAACCUACAGAGAACUUAUGAGAGCUAAGGAAGCUCUCAAGAAAACAACUGGUGUUAGGAAAACAAGGUACGGGAAUAUCUUGGUCGAAUUAAUAAAAGCAAAAGCAUCAGCAAAUGAGAUUUCAGACAAAAUAAAGACGGUUACGGAAAACCGAGUACAGUCAACACCACUACAAACUAUGGUGUCAUUGAAAGUCAAAAACAUCGAUCCGCUGAGCAAGGAAGAGCUCAGAAGCGACAUUUGUAGUGACUUAAGCAUAAGUAACAGAAACUGUGUUGACGUCAAGACACUGCUAAUAAACCCGUGGGGAAUAUGACAACCCAUAGUUAUUAUCCCCGCAUCAACUGUUCCUGCCAAUUAUAACAAUUUAAAAAUCAGAGCAGGAUUGACGGUAACAAGUAUAAAAAUCUUGCCGAAAAUCAAUAGAUGUUUUAGGUGUCAUAAAAUAGGACACACCUCAAAUCAGUGCAAAGAAGUUAGUGUUAAGAAAUGUAAAGUUGGUAUGACCGCUAGUUACUAAAAGCUAAGUUGGUACGACUCCUAACGACGUUCCUUUGUCUUAGGAGUCGACCACGCGUUAAUUGCUAAGACGCAUCCUGUGUGAUUAAACGCCUCCUGUGUGAUUAGGCGUUUUGUAUAAGAAACAAAAUAAAAGGUGUGAUAAUCAAUCCGUGUGAAUCAGCUUGAAUAUCAACCCCAACCUAUAUAAAAUAACAGUUAGCUCUGGAAAGGUACUUUGCAGGAAAUGUAGAGUUAGGAAUUACAAUAUGGAGAACUGCAUUAAUGAACCGUACUGCACCAUGUGGAGCGCUCAUGGUUUAGCAAAUAAAAAACACGUUACUGGGUCAUUGGCGUGUCCUAUAUACAGAAGAGCGAUGAAAGAGAGAAAUAGUAGAAUAAAAAGAUAAAGACUUUGCAGACAAAUUUAAAUCGCUGCAAGUUGGCACAGGAUUUAAUGUACCAAUGCGCCUAUGAAGUCAGAGCAGAUGUAACCCCAAAUUCUUUUACCCUGACGUCACCUUAGGCGACCACUUCUAAAUAUUCUCCGGACAGUUGAUACCUCUACUCCAAAUAUUCUCAGGACAGUUGAUACCUCUAAAUAUCCUCCGGACGGUUGAUACUUCUAAAUAUUAUCCGGUCAAUUAACACCUCGCCACCCUGAUAAGGAACUUCCAGGAACAAUAUCCCCUCCAUCAUUUUCAUUGUUCCUGCUUAGUAUUUAGACUCCGAAUAAUGACGGCCGAGCCAGUCUGAACUGUGAGCCGAUACUUGAACAUUGUAAGUGGUAGCCAAGUGUCUUGGACUCUUGAGAAAUAAAGUUUUUUGUAUCAUCAAGAGAGUUUCUUUUUUACGUGACACAGAUAUCGUUAUCAUCUUUGAACCAAAGAAACAAUAGAUGUACUGGUACAAAGAUAUAAAAGGUGAUGCAUCCAUAUGGGUUACGUUAUUUAACAGCGCAUUCCCAUAUGAUGAUACCAUAAUACAGGAAGACGGUAUGUUGGAAAUAAGAAUAGGGGAUACUUCCUACGUGAGUGGAUAUUGUUCCCGUAACAUCAACAAAAAUAGCUAUUAUAAAUACGUUGACAAAUUAGAAAGCUUAAUGAAAAGGAUAUAUAAAAAACAAAGUAAAAUACUUAUUGCUGGUGAUUAUAAUGCAAAAUCGGCAGUAUGGGACGGAGACAAAACCGACAAAGAGGAUAGAACCUUAAUGGGGGCUUUGGUAAAAAAUGGCAUUACAACCAUAAAAGUCAACAAAAAAUACUCCUUUGUUAGGGGCAAUAGUAAUAGCUAUCUUGGCAUAGUGAGCGUAAAUAAUAACCUAGCUAGGCUUUAUAAAAGAACAAAGAUCCCACAAAUUUUUAAUUUAAAUUUAACAGAAAUAGAGGUCAUUAUAAAUUUUCGACGAAAGACUACGAUCCGGAGAGGUUUAUUAAUAAAUUUGACGAAAUAAAAAAUAAUCUAAUAAUAAAUUUUACAUCUUACAGGAUGAGCCAUGGGGAAUUUCUCCAAAAUAUUUUAGAAAAAACGCGUGAAGCCGAAUUAAAAAAAGUCUUCCUACCAAGGGAUAAGAAGAACGAGAACUAUUGGUGGAAUGAGAAUAUAGCCCCACUUUGAAAGAUGGAGAAUAAAAGUAGAAGGGUUGUAUUAAAUAGCCAGCAAUGUGGAGGAGUUUACCAAGAUAUAUAAGCAGAAUAAAAAGGAACUGAAAAUAUUAAUUCAGAAAGGCAAAGAACAAACGUGGAAGGAAUUUGUUGCAAUCUUAAAAUGGGAUCCAUAGGCAUUAUAGAUACACUUUUCACCACAAAAAUAAACAUAACUGCCGAAGAAGAGAGACGGGAUGGUAGUUACGAGGAAGUAACAAACGACGAUGUAUGUAUCACCGUCCAAAUGGAGGAGUUAGCGAAUGCCAUUGGACGAUUAAAUUCUAAACGGGCGGCUGGCGUGGAUGGUGUCUCUGGAACAAUAUUUAAAUUAUUAUUUAAGUAUAAAGCUCAUGACAUACUAAGCAUGCCUAAUACUAUAUACAAAAUAGAUAAAAUACCUAAAGAAUGGAAAAUUGCUAGAGUAGUAUUGCAAAACCAGGAAAUAAUCCCUUCCUUCCUACUUCCUAUUGGCUCAUAAAUAUACUACCUGCGAUGAGCAAGAUAUGGGGGAAUAUUUCUAAAUCCUCCACUGAGAAAUAUCUGUGGCAAUAGCCAUAUCACAAAAGCCAGUAUGGUUUCCACAGAGACAGGAGCACAGUUGGUCCCAUUAUAUAGGUUAACAAAUUUGCAGAUUUCUGCAAAAAGAAAAAUUUAGUAUACAUCCAGAUUGCUGACGACAUUAAAAAUGUUUUCAAAACCCUUAGAUGGUAUACAAUAAUUAAGGAAGCCAGGUAAAGAAAACUUCCAGGAAACUUAUUGAUAUUAUAUGGUUACCUGAAGGAUAAAGAGAUUAUAAUUAAAAGCAUUAAUGGAGAAUUUGAAAGUAAUGUCUACGCUAUUAUUAUGCAAUUUAGUGGACGAUGGACUUCUCAAUAAAUUUAUUAAUAUAAUAAAAUUUACAAACUGUAACCUUUGCAGACUAUUUGGCAAUUCUAAUGGGUGUCAAUAAAGAAGAAAGUAUAGAAAAUAAACUAAAUAUAAACAUAAACACAAUUAUGACUUCGUGUAAUAAUGCUGGAUUGCAAGUUGCAAAAGAAAAAACAGAGAUUAUUCUAUUGACUGGUAUGCGAAUACCUAAGAUAAUAAAUGUAAAUAUUAUAAAUAUGCUAAUUACUACAAAUAACACUAUUAUAUACUUGGGAUUAACAAUUGACAACAUCAGAAAUUACACUGUGCAUCUGAAAAUAUUAUGCGGUAGAGCUGAUGCAUUUAGUCAGAAUGUUGAUAGUAUUACUUUCCAACAUAAAUGGUCCCACUAACCUAGUUAGAAGAUUGUUCUGGGAAUCGAUGGUACUAUGUGCCUCUUCUGUAUGGGCUGAGGAUCCAAAAAGGACUAAAAAUAAAGAAAAUAUUAAAAAAGGCACAAAGAUCGGCCCUAAUUAAGAUAUCAACAUCUUAUAGGACUGUCUUUUAUGCAGCUCUGCGCGCGUUGACAGGUAACAUGCUAAUAUACAUUAAAGCACAGCUGUGAGAAAAGCUAUAUGAUGUGAAAAAAAGGCACACAUUAAACGCCAUAGAAAAUAUAACCGAUAGGAUACAAAACUCACUCAAGGGAGAGAUAAAACAAUUGGGAGAAACAACAAUAGAGGAUUGGAGAAAGGAAUAUAUAAGAAACUGGACAAGAAAAUUGAUAAACAACAUAGUCAUCUUUAUAAAGAAUAAAAAACUUAUUGACCAUUAUACAAUGCAAAUGUUUAUCGGACAUGGUACCUUUAACACAUAUAGAAUCAGAAUAAAUAAAGAAAUCAAUAACCAAUGCUGGAAUUGCAAUGAAGAGUUCAAUGAUGCUGAACAGAUAUUGUUUAAAUGUCCAAGAUGGGCCUCCCAACAUAUAGCCCAUGAAAACCAUGCCGGUGAAAGUUUAAGCGCCAAGAAUAUGAUUACAUUAGUUACAGCAGACAAUGAUAUAUGGAAUCACUUCCAAGUAUUUUGUGGUUCCAUAAUGAACUUUCUAUAAAGUGUAGGCUCAGGAUAUAGCCCAUAAAAAUUAUUUUAACCAACAAGUGAAGAAAUUAACUAUCUGUUAUCUACUUUUAUUUAUUCUGUUCAGUCCAUCUAUUUAAUUAACUAUUGUAAUUAUUUAUUUAGUUAUCUUUUUAUUUAUCCAUUAUGUAUUAAUUAAUUAAUUUAUAAUUUGAAUUAUGCAUUAAAAUACCGCUUUGCUAUGUUAUUUAUUUACUUAGUAUUUAUAUACACUAAUUUAUAGUUACUUAAUGGGUGGAACAGUAAUACAGAUCGAUGUUUUAUAACUUAACCUAUACACAAUGGAAUGGUAGCAUCGUUGUGAUAAAUUAAAAGUUUAGUAAAUUAAA